AUACGUAGGUGGCAAGCGUUAUCCGGAUUUAUUGGGUUUAAAGGGUGCGUAGGCGGUUUGCUAAGCGGGAGGUGAAAUGCCGGCGCUCAACGUCGGAAGUGCCUCCCGAACUGGUGGACUGGAAUGACUUUGCCGUGGGAGGAAUGUGUAGUGUAGCGGUGAAAUGCUUAGAGAUUACACAGAACACCGAUUGCGAAGGCAUCUCACGAAGGGUUGAUUGACGCUGAGGCACGAAAGCGUGGGGAUCAAACAGGAUUAGAUACCCUGGUAGUCCACGCAGUAAACGAUGAUGGCUAACCGCUGGUUUAUUCGGAUCAGUGGCCAAGCGAAAGCGAUAAGCCAUCCACCUGGGGAGUACGACCGCAAGGUUGAAACUCAAAUGAAUUGACGGGG
rnacentral:rRNA from 1 species